UCUAUUCCAUCGAAGUGUACAUCAGCAGCAAGAACAUCACUGUAUAAGUCCAUUUCCGACCUCUCCCAUCCAAUCUGGCAAAAUCUAGAGAGAGAAAGAGAAACAUCCAUAACCCAAACCACAAGAAAUCACCCAAUUUGGGUAACACAAACACACGGGCAAUACAGAUACAGAUAUAGAAAGAGAGAGAGAGAGAUUGUGUAUGACUUAACCGAC
rnacentral:lncRNA from 1 species